CCUACGGGUGGCAGCAGUGAGGAAUAUUGGUCAAUGGACGGAAGUCUGAACCAGCCAUGCCGCGUGCAGGAAGACGGCUCUAUGAGUUGUAAACUGCUUUUGUACAAGGGUAAACCUGAAUACGUGUAUUCAGCUGAAAGUACUGUAAGAAUAAGGAUCGGCUAACUCCGUGCCAGCAGCCGCGGUAAUACGGAGGAUCCAAGCGUUAUCCGGAUUUAUUGGGUUUAAAGGGUGCGUAGGCGGAUUGAUAAGUUAGAGGUGAAAUGUCCGAGCUUAACUCGGGAACUGCCUCUAAUACUGUUGGUCUAGAGAGUAGAUGCGGUAGGCGGAAUGUAUGGUGUAGCGGUGAAAUGCUUAGAGAUCAUACAGAACACCGAUUGCGAAGGCAGCUUACCAAUCUAUAUCUGACGUUGAGGCACGAAAGCGUGGGGAGCAAACAGGAUUAGAUACCCGGGUAGUC
rnacentral:rRNA from 1 species